GGGGAAUUGUUCACAAUGGGCGCAAGCCUGAUGACGCAACGCCGCGUGGGGGAUGAAGGCCUUCGGGUCGUAAACCCCUGUCGAAUGGGACGAAAUGCCCGCGAUCUAACAGAACGCGGGAUUGACGGUACCGUUAAAGGAAGCCACGGCUAACUCUGUGCCAGCAGCCGCGGUAAUACAGAGGUGGCAAGCGUUGUUCGGAAUUACUGGGCGUAAAGGGCGCGUAGGCGGCCUUCUAAGUCAGACGUGAAAUCCCCCGGCUUAACCUGGGAACUGCGUCUGAUACUGGAUGGCUUGAAUCCGGGAGAGGGAUGCAGAAUUCCAGGUGUAGCGGUGAAAUGCGUAGAUAUCUGGAGGAAUACCGGUGGCGAAGGCGGCAUCCUGGACCGGCAUUGACGCUGAGGCGCGAAAGCCAGGGGAGCAAA
rnacentral:rRNA from 1 species